GAAACAUCCUCAUCUUUGAUAUUCCGUCAGAAAUACCCUUGAUUUUCUUUAUCAGUUCAUUACAACAUCAGGUAUGAUUCUCGCUCAUCCUGUGCUCAAACUUUCUUCUCUUUUUUUUUUUUUUUAACAUAUCUCUGUACAUUUAUAGUUUGUCUGACAAUACAAUUCGAAAAAAAAUUCUUUAUUUUCAUAAUCCAUCAAUUUCUAGCAAUGAAGCUCUAGAAGUAUCAAUUUUCUAUCUCUUCUCUACCAAAAAUAUAAAGAACACGUGCAAGCAACUCUUCAUCUUCACAUCCUGAAUCUGAGCCCACUUGAUCGGAAUACACUGGGAUAUACAAGUUAUGCCUUGGAAUGAAAGACAUUUCCAAACCCACUUUGUCUACGAACAAGGAAGCUAUAAGUAAAGCAACUAUGAAUCUCAUGGAGAGUUCGAUCCUGGCUCAGGAUGAACGCUGGCAGCAUGCUUAAAACAUGCAAGUCGGACGGAAAACACAGAAAACGGUGUUUGCAAUAACGAACAGGUGAGUAAUGCGUAAGAACCUGCCCUUGGGAGGGGAACAACAACUGUAAACGGCUGCUAAUACCCCAUCGGCUGAGCAACAAAAGGAGGAAUCCGCCGGAGGAGGGGCUCGGGGCUCGCGUCUGAUCCAACUGAACAGGAAAAUGUGAUUUAUUUAUCGGAAGCUGGGUUCAUGAUCCAAGUGGUCCAGUUUACACAAAUGCCACUUGUUAUUUAAUUGAAUCUCACCACAACUGUAUGAAAAAUGGAGACCUGAUACUGAAUAUCUUUACUGGAGAUGGAAUCCGAGAGACUGAGCUACCGAGAUUUAACCCCAAAAAAUUCCUCAAUUUGAUGUGAAACAAAUCUUUCACCUUCAUAGGCGAUUCAAUUAUGCGCAAUCAAGUGCAGUCAUUGCUUUGUAUUCUCUCACAGAUACAUUUCAAGCUCAAAAAGAGUUAUACUGGAACAAGGAAACUAGCUCCGUUACUGUUCUUUGUUUUCAUUUGUUUUGUUUUGUUUCAGUUUGUUGUUCUUCGUUGAUGGUUAGCUCAAAUGGUAACUACAAGCGUCAUCACUUAGUUGUUUUUUUCGUAACUACUUUCUAAUAUCAAUUAUGGCUCUUAAAUAGUCAAUGUGUCUAUUAGAUCAAAUAAAUUCAAGCUUCUUGUGUC